rnacentral:rRNA from 1 species
UACAGAGGUCUCAAGCGUUGUUCGGAUUCAUUGGGCGUAAAGGGUGCGUAGGUGGCGCUGUAAGUCGGGUGUGAAAUUUCGAGGCUUAACCUCGAAACUGCAUUCGAUACUGCGGUGCUUGAGGACUGGAGAGGAGACUGGAAUUCAUGGUGUAGCAGUGAAAUGCGUAGAGAUCAAUGAGGAAGACCAGUGGCGAAGGCGG